rnacentral:tRNA from 1 species
GCCGAAGUGGUGGAACUGGUAGACACGCACGUUUGAGGGGCGUGUGGAGAAAUCCAUGCGGGUUCGAGUCCCGCCUUCGGCA